AGCUGAAUAAGGUCUCAAAUAACCAAUAGUUUCACCAAGAAAAGGCCAACCCAUAUCCCCUGGUGGAAGAUUUUGAAAGUUGUGUUUUCUUUUGAAUAGAUUAAGAAUUAUAAGUACUGCUAAGAUUGGAGGAAUAAGAAAAAGAAAAAACUCUAAGUCAGACAUUGAUGUUAUUCCUUCUUCUCUAUUUCUUUCUUCUUCUUUUUCAGUUUCAACACUCAAUAAGCUCUGUUUCUGAAGCAGAGGUUCGAAUAAGAUAGUA
rnacentral:misc_RNA from 1 species